UACCCCAAUUCCACAACGCUCUACUCUCAUAUCUAUUGCUUCUAUAUACCAAACCCUAAGCCUACUUCUCUUCUUUGUUACCUUGAUUAUAUAUCAUUUGGUCAUCAUAAUGGAAACUCCCACAUUGUUGUUUCUCUUUCUAAUAGCCAUGGCUGCUGCAUUGGUGCAAGGCCAAGGCACUAGGGUUGGCUUCUAUUCCCGUACAUGUCCUCAAGUUGAAUCCAUUGUUCAGAAAACUGUCAAUUCCCAUUUCCAGUCCAAUCCAGCCAUUGCCCCUGGCUUGCUUCGCAUGCACUUCCAUGACUGCUUUGUCCAGGGUUGCGAUGCUUCCAUCCUCAUCGAUGGGUCGUCCACCGAGAAAACGGCUGGGCCAAAUCGUCUGUUGAGAGGAUAUGAUGUUAUUGACGAUGCCAAGACACAGCUCGAAGCCGCUUGCCCUGGAGUCGUCUCUUGCGCUGAUAUUCUUGCCCUCGCUGCCCGCGACUCGGUCGUUCUGACAAAAGGACUAACGUGGAAAGUGCCUACGGGACGUAGAGAUGGGCGAGUUUCAUUGGCAUCUAAUGUUAACAAUUUGCCUGGCCCUCGCGACUCUGUUGAAGUCCAAAAGAAAAAGUUUGCUGACAAGGGUCUCAAUGAUCAAGAUCUGGUUACUCUUGUUGGAGGACACACCAUUGGAACUGCAGCAUGCCAAGCCUUCAGAUACAGACUAUACAACUUCAGUACCACGACUGCAAAUGGUGCUGACCCUUCCAUGGAUGCCACAUUCGUAACUCAGCUACAAGCCCUCUGUCCAGCUAAUGGAGAUGCGAGCAGACGGGUUGCACUGGACACUGGUAGCUCAAACACAUUUGACGCAUCAUACUUUACAAACUUGAAGAAUGGACGAGGAGUACUGGAAUCUGAUCAGAGGUUAUGGACAGAUGCUUCCACCAAAACUUUUGUUCAGCGCUUCCUGGGGGUUAGAGGGCUGCUUGGAUUGAAUUUCAACCUUGAGUUUGGAAGGUCCAUGGUGAAGAUGAGCAACAUUGGGGUGAAGACUGGGACUCUGGGUGAAAUUCGCAAAGUGUGCUCUGCAAUUAACUGAUGAGAGUUUUCCACUAUGAAGUAGUGAAUUGAUCAUGUACCCUUUGAUUAUUAAUUUACCUAAGUGAAGUAAAGAACCCCUAGUAUUCCGUAACUUCUCACAUGCACUGUGAAUCUGUGAUAAUGAUUAAGCUUACACCCGAAAGCAAAGUGUGAAUGGAAAUAUUGAUGCAUGGUUGAAUAUAUGGUGGGCUUUUGACAUCAUCAUAAUUGAAUUAUUUGAAUAUA